AGCUCUCAGAAUGCAUGGAAGUGUUGCUGCGGUUAAAAGGCUCGUAGUCGGAUUGGGCGGGCGUCGGUCGCGGUGGCGAGCGGCGCCCCAGCACCUUGAAGAAAUCGGAGUGCUCAAGACAGGCGGGUACGCCUGGACGAUGGCGCAUGGAAUGGCAGAAGAGGGUCUCGGUCCGGUUCUGCGGGUUGGAGGGCAGAGACAAUGAUAAAUAGAGGCAGACGGGGGCAUCGGUACUUCUGCGUGAGAGGUGAAAUUCGAGGACCGCAGGAAGACGGGCGACAGCGAAGGCAGUUGCCAAGCCUGUGUUCA
rnacentral:rRNA from 1 species